rnacentral:rRNA from 1 species
GACGAACGCUGGCGGCGUGCCUAAUACAUGCAAGUCGAGCGCUUCUUUCCUUUCGAGUGCUUACACUCAACUAACGAGAGGAUAGCCCGACGGUUGAGUAACCCGUGCGUAACGUACCCAUCAGAGGAGGAUAACACUUGGAAACAGUUGCUAAUACCGCAUAACGGUUUAUGCCGCAUGUCAUUAGAGUGAAGGGCGCCUUCGGGUGUCGCUGAUUGUUGGUCGCGCGGUGCAUUAGCUAGGUGGUGAGGUAACGGCUCACCAAGGGCGCGAUGCAUAGCCGACCUGAGAGGGUGAUCGGACACCCUGGGACGGAGACAACGCGCCGACUCCUGCGCGAGGCAGCAGUAGGGAACCUUCGGCAAUGAACGGAAGUCUGAACGAGCAAAGCGGCGUGAGUGAAGAAGGUCUUCGGAUCGUAAAACACUACUGUUAUCGAAGAACAAGGACGUUAGUACCUGAACGAACUCUGACGGUAGCGAAAGAGAAAGCAACGGCUAACUACGUG